rnacentral:rRNA from 1 species
GGGGGGGGCGGGCGGGGGGGGGGGCGGAGGCGGGGCGGGGGGCAGCGCAGUAGGGGCGGGCGCUUACGGGUGGCGAGUGGCGGACGGGUGAGGAAUACAUCGGAAUCUACUUUUUCGUGGGGGCUAACGUAGGGAAACUUACGCUAAUACCGCAUACGACCUACGGGUGAAAGCAGGGGAUCUUCGGACCUUGCGCGAUUGAAUGAGCCGAUGUCGGAUUAGCUAGUUGGCGGGGUAAAGGCCGACCAAGGCGACGAUCCGUAGCUGGUCUGAGAGGAUGAUCAGCCACACUGGAACUGAGACACGGUCCAGACUCCUACGGGAGGCAGCAGUGGGGAAUAUUGGACAAUGGGCGCAAGCCUGAUCCAGCCAUACCGCGUGGGUGAAGAAGGCCUUCGGGUUGUAAAGCCCUUUUGUUGGGGAAGAAAAGCAGCAGGUUAAUACCCCGCUGUUCUGACGGUACACAAAGAAUAAGCACCGGCUAAAUUCGUG